CGAAUCAUCAUGCCGCCUAAGACUAGU
rnacentral:sRNA from 1 species